rnacentral:rRNA from 1 species
AGAGUUUGAUCCUGGCUCAGGAUGAACGCUAGCUACAGGCUUAACACAUGCAAGUCGAGGGGAAACGACAUCGAAAGCUUGCUUUUGAUGGGCGUCGACCGGCGCACGGGUGAGUGACGCGUAUCCAACCUGCCCACCACUUGGGGAUAACCUUGCGAAAGUAAGACUAAUACCCAAUGAUAUCUCUAGAAGACAUCUGAAAGAGAUUAAAGAUUUAUCGGUGAUGGAUGGGGAUGCGUCUGAUUAGCUUGGUUGGCGGGGUAACGGCCACCAAGGCGACGAUCGAGUAGGGGUUCUGAGAGGAAGGUCCCCCACAUUGGAACUGAGACACGGUCCAAACUCCUACGGGAGGCA